rnacentral:misc_RNA from 1 species
GAUGAAGAACGCAGCGAAAUGCGAUAAGUAAUGUGAAUUGCAGAAUUCAGUGAAUCAUCGAAUCUUUGAACGCACAUUGCGCCCCUUGGUAUUCCGAGGGGCAUGCCUGUUCGAGCGUCAUUAUAACCCCUCAAGCUCAGCUUGGUGUUGGGGCCUGCUGCACUGGCAGCCCUUAAAAUCAGUGGCGGCGCCAUCUGGCUCUAAGCGUAGUAAUUCUUCUCGCUAUGGAGUCCUGGUCGAUGCUUGCCAUCAACCCCCAAUUUUUCUAUGGUUGACCUCGGAUCAGGUAGGGAUACCCGCUGAACUUAAGCAUAUCAAUAAGCGGAGGA